GGGCGCUCUGUAGCACAGUGAGGUCUGAGAGUCCGCGUCUUGGCAUCUAAUUGAAUGUCUACUACGAUGUGGGUGGGUUCCAGCUCUCUCAGAAGCAGAUCCUGAGAGAAGGACUGAAGUGCAAGCAGCUAUGUGGGAGGUGAUCCCAGGAAACGCCUGUAGGGGAGAGGAAAAUGGAGCCGCCCAAGUCCCUGCAGGGACUUCACUGAGAAAUAAAUGACUGAGGCUUCCGCUGUGGACAACCGGGCUCAAGCCUGUUGGGACCUUCACGUCGACUGCUUGGCUGUGAUGUUUGGAGCUGGCACAGUCAUCUUGUCUCCUUGAAGCAUAACAUCAUCAACAUGCUGAGGAUGGAAGAGCAGAGAGCUGAAAGGAGCCGGGGCCCUGGUGAGCAUGGAUGAAUCACAUCAGUCUCCCAGACAAUGUCUUAAAGAAGAGAAGCAGGAGGAAAGUGAAAUCUAAAAAGAGGCCAUUUGGACCAGCACAUGUGGAGAGUUAAAUAUUGAAUAAAC
rnacentral:lncRNA from 1 species